rnacentral:rRNA from 1 species
UACGUAGGAGACGAGCGUUGUCCGGAAUUACUGGGCGUAAAGCGCGUGUAGGCGGAUGAGCAAGUCUGCUGUGAAAGACCGGGGCUUAACUUCGGAAAGGCAGUGGAAACUGAACAGCUAGAGUAUGGUAGGGGCAGAGGGAAUUCCUGGUGUAGCGGUGAAAUGCGUAGAGAUCAGGAAGAACAUCGGUGGCGAAGGCGCUCUGCUGGACCAUAACUGACGCUGAGGCGCGAAAGCUAGGGGAGCAAACGGG